rnacentral:rRNA from 1 species
UACGUAGGGUGCGAGCGUUAAUCGGAAUUACUGGGCGUAAAGCGUGCGCAGGCGGUGAUGUAAGACAGGUGUGAAAUCCCCGGGCUUAACCUGGGAACUGCAUUGGUGACUGCAUCGCUGGAGUGCGGCAGAGGGGGAUGGAAUUCCGCGUGUAGCAGUGAAAUGCGUAGAUAUGCGGAGGAACACCGAUGGCGAAGGCAAUCCCCUGGGCCUGCACUGACGCUCAUGCACGAAAGCGUGGGGAGCAAACAGG